UUCCAGGCCAUUGCUUUCAGCUUCUGGAGGAAUCUCUCAGAGGUAGACACUGGCAGAAUUGAGACUUUACAUCCAGCUUCACAUCGGUGUACCCAGGAAGGAGACUGGUGACAGAGAGAUGUAGCUGUUCCUGGUCUCAGUGGGAGGCAGUUGAACCACCCCCCACUGCCUCCUGCCUUCUGAGGCCUGUUAGGAGAAAUCUGCAGAAGGAGCAAGCAUCGAUUGUGACCUAGUCCAUCUGAUCCCACAGAAUCUGCACAGA